CCUACGGGAGGCAGCAGUGGGGAAUAUUGGACAAUGGGGGCAACCCUGAUCCAGCGACGCCGCGUGAGUGAAGAAGUAUUUAGGUAUGUAAAGCUCUAUCAACAAGGAAGAAAGAAAUGACGGUACCUGACUAAGAAGCCCAGGCUAACUACGUGCCAGCAGCCGCGGUAAUACGUAGGGCGCAAGCGUGAUCCGGAUUUACUGGGUGUAAAGGGAGCGUAGACGGCGAUGCAAGUCUGAAGUGAAAGGCGGGGGCUCAACCGACGGACUGCUAUGGAAACUGGCUGGCUGGUGUGCAGGAGAGGUAAGUGGAAUUCGUAGUGUAGCGGUGAAAUGCGUAGAUAUUAGGAGGAACACCAAUGGCGAAGGCGGCUUACUGAACUGUAACUGACAUUGAGGCUCGAAAGCGUGGGGAGCAAACAGGAUUAGAUACCCUAGUAGUC
rnacentral:rRNA from 1 species